AAACUGGGAUUAGAUACCCCACUAUGCUUAGCCCUAAACACAGAUAAUUUCAUAAACAAAAUUAUUCGCCAGAGUACUACCGGCAAUAGCCUAAAACUCAAAGGACUUGGCGGUGCUUUAUACCCCUCUAGAGGAGCCUGUUCUAUAAUCGAUAAACCCCGAUAAACCUCACCAAUCCUUGCUAAUACAGUCUAUAUACCGCCAUCUUCAGCAAACCCUAAAAAGGAAUAAAAGUAAGCACAAUCAUAAGACAUAAAAACGUUAGGUCAAGGUGUAACCUAUGGAAUGGAAAGAAAUGGGCUACAUUUUCUAUCUUAAGAAAACUCAAUACGAAAGUUGCUAUGAAACUAGCAACCAAAGGAGGAUUUAGUAGUAAACUAAGAAUAGAGUGCUUAGUUGAAUCAGGCCAUGAAGCACGCACACACCGCCCGUCACCCUC
rnacentral:rRNA from 1 species